GAUGAACGCUGGCGGCGUGCCUAAUACAUGCAAGUCGAGCGAACGGACGAGAAGCUUGCUUCUCUGAUGUUAGCGGCGGACGGGUGAGUAACACGUGGAUAACCUACCUAUAAGACUGGGAUAACUUCGGGAAACCGGAGCUAAUACCGGAUGAUAUUUUGAACCGCAUGGUUCAAAAGUGAAAGACGGUCUUGCUGUCACUUAUAGAUGGAUCCGCGCUGCAUUAGCUAGUUGGUAAGGUAACGGCUUACCAAGGCAACGAUGCAUAGCCGACCUGAGAGGUGGACCGGCCACACUGAACCGGAGACACGUUCCAGACUCUGCCGGGGGGAAGAGGGGGGGAUUCUUCGGAAAGGGGCAAAGCCCGGAAGGGUCACCGCCGCGUGAGUGAUGAAGGUUUUGGUAUCUUAAACCUUUUUUAUGGGGGAAAAACAUUUGGGAAAUUAACUGUGCACAUUUGGAGGGACCCUAAUAAGAAAGCCAGGGCAACCUAGGUG
rnacentral:rRNA from 1 species